UACGUAGGGUGCGAGCGUUACUCGGAAUUACUGGGCGUAAAGCGUGCGUAGGCGGUUCGCUAAGUCUGAUGUGAAAGCCCCGGGCUCAACCUGGGAACUGCAUUGGAAACUGACGAGCUUGAGUGUGGCAGAGGGGGGUGGAAUUCCACGUGUAGCAGUGAAAUGCGUAGAGAUGUGGAGGAACACCGAUGGCGAAGGCAGCCCCCUGGGCUAACACUGACGCUCAGGCACGAAAGCGUGGGGAGCAAACAGG
rnacentral:rRNA from 1 species